UACGGAGCGGGCGAGCGUUAUUCGGAAUUAUUGGGCGUAAAGGGCGCGUAGGCGGCUUGAUGUGUCAAAGGUGAAAUCCCUCGGCUCAACUGAGGAACUGCCUUUGAAACUGUCUGGCUUGAGGCCGGGAGAGGGUAGCGGAAUUCCCAGUGUAGCGGUGAAAUGCGUAGAUACUGGGAGGAACACCGGUGGCGAAGGCGGCUACCUGGACCGGUUCUGACGCUGAUGCGCGAAAGCGUGGGUAGCAAACAGG
rnacentral:rRNA from 1 species